AUCUCAACAGUCUUGUUAGGUUGAGGCUGAAUAAUUGCAGAGAACUUGAGAGUCUUCCAAGCAGCAUUUCUCACAUGAAAUCUCUUGAAUACCUUGAUGUUUCUGGAUGCUCAAAGCUUGAAAAGUUUCCAGAAAUUUUGGAGGUUAUGAAGAAGCUAUCUGAGCUUUGUUUGGAUGCACUGCAAUUAAGGAGCUGCCUGCUUCUAUUUUAAAUCUCAUCAGUCUUGUUAGGUUGAGGCUGAAUAAUUGCAGAGAACUUGAGAGUCUUCCAAGCAGCAUUUCUCACAUGAAAUCUCUUAAAUACCUUGAUGUUUCUGGAUGCUCAAAGCUUGAGAAGUUUCCAGAAAUUUCAGAGGUUAUGAAGAAGCUAUCUGAGCUUUGUUUGGGUGGCACUGCAAUUAAGGAGCUGCCUGCUUCUAUUUUAAAUCUCAUCAGUCUUGUUAGGUUGAGGCUGAAUAAUUGCAGAGAACUUGAGAGUCUUCCAAGCAGCAUUUCUCACAUGAAAUCUCUUGAAUACCUUGAUGUUUCUGGAUGCUCAAAGCUUGAAAGUUUCCAGAAAGUUUUGGAGGUUAGGAAGAAGCCUAUCUGAGCUUUGUUUGGGUGGCACUGCAAUUAAGGAGCUGCCUGCUUCUAUUUUAAAUCUCAUCAGUCUUGUUUGGUUGAGGCUGAAUAAUUGCAGAGAACUUGAGAGUCUUCCAAGCAGCAUUUCUCACAUGAAAUCUCUUAAAUACCUUGAUGUUUCUGGAUGCUCAAAGAUUGAGAAGUUUCCAGAAAGUUUGGAGGUUAGGAAGGAGCUAUCUGAUCUUUGUUUGGGUGGCACUGCAAUUAAGGCGCUGCCUGCUUCUAUUUUAAAUCUCACCAGUCUUGUUACUUUGAAGUUGAAUGAUUGCAGAGAACUUGAGAGUCUUCCAAGCAUCAUUUCUCACAUGAAAUCUCUUGGAUACCUUGAUGUUUCUGGAUGCUCAAAGAUUGAGAAGUUUCCAGAAAUUUUGGAGGUUAUGAAGGAGCUAUCUAUUCUUUGUUUGGGUGGCACUGCAAUUAAGGAGCUGCCUGCUUCUAUUUUAAAUCUCACCAGUCUUGAUACUUUGAAACUGAAUGAUUGCAGAGAACUUGAGAGUCUUCCAAGCAUCAUUUCUCACAUGAAAUCUCUUAAAUACCUUGAUGUUUCUGGAUGCUCAAAGCUUGAGAAGUUUCCAGAAAUUUUGGAGGUUAUGAAGAAGCUAUCUGAGCUUUGUUUGGGUGGCACUGCAAUUAAGAAGCUGCCUGCUUCUAUUUUAAAUCUCACCAGUCUUGGUAGGUUGAGGCUGAAUAAUUGCAGAGAACUUGAGAGUCUUCCAAGCAGCAUUUCUCACAUGAAAUCUCUUAAAUACCUUGAUGUUUCUGGAUGCUCAAAGCUUGAAAAGUUUCCAGAAAUUUUGGAGGUUAGGAAGAAGCUAUCUGAGCUUUGUUUGGGUGGCACUGCAAUUAAGGAGCUGCCUGCUUCUAUUUUAAAUCUCAUCAGUCUUGUUAGGUUGAGGCUGAAUAAUUGCAGAGAACUUGAGAGUCUUCCAAGCAGCAUUUCUCACAUGAAAUCUCUUAAAUACCUUGAUGUUUCUGGAUGCUCAAAGAUUGAGAAGUUUCCAGAAAUUUUGGAGGUUAGGAAGGAGCUAUCUGAUCUUUGUUUGGGUGGCACUGCAAUUAAGGAGCUGCCUGCUUCUAUUUUAAAUCUCACCAGUCUUGUUACUUUGAAUUUGAAUGAUUGCAGAGAACUUGAGAGUCUUCCAAGCAGCAUUUCUCACAUGAAAUCUCUUGAGUACCUUGAUGUUUCUGGAUGCUCAAAGAUUGAGAAGUUUCCAGAAAUUUUGGAGGUUAGGAACGUGCUAUCUAAGCUUUGUUUGGGUGGCACUGCAAUUAAGGAGCUGC
rnacentral:lncRNA from 1 species